AUUGAACGCUGGCGGCAGGCCUAACACAUGCAAGUCGAGCGGAUGAGAGGAGCUUGCUUCUCGAUUCAGCGGCGGACGGGUGAGUAAUGCCUAGGAAUCUGCCUGGUAGUGGGGGACAACGUUUCGAAAGGAACGCUAAUACCGCAUACGUCCUACGGGAGAAAGCAGGGGACCUUCGGGCCUUGCGCUAUCAGAUGAGCCUAGGUCGGAUUAGGUAGUUGGAGAGGUAAUGGCUCACCAAGGCGACGAUCCGUAACUGGUCUGAGAGGAUGAUCAGUCACACUGGAACUGAGACACGGUCCAGACUCCUACGGGAGGCAGCAGUGGGGAAUAUUGGACAAUGGGCGAAAGCCUGAUCCAGCCAUGCCGCGUGUGUGAAGAAGGUCUUCGGAUUGUAAAGCACUUUAAGUUGGGAGGAAGGGUUGUAGAUUAAUACUCUGCAAUUUUGACGUUACCGACAGAAUAAGCACCGGCUAACUCUGUGCCAGCCGCCGCAGUAAUAC
rnacentral:rRNA from 1 species